GUGUGAUAUUGCUAACUGGUACAAACCCGUAGAUCCGAUCUUGUGGUGAAAUUGACUUCACAAGCUCGCCUCUUUGGGUCUGUGUCAGUGUAGUAAUC
ensembl:miRNA MIR99A microRNA 99a